UACAUGUGGGGCAAGCGUUGUUCGGAAUUACUGGGCGUAAAGGGUGCGUAGGUGGCGCUGUAAGUCGGGUGUGAAAUUUCGGAGCUUAACUCCGAAACUGCAUUCGAUACUGCCGUGCUUGAGGACUGGAGAGGAGACUGGAAUUUACGGUGUAGCGGUGAAAUGCGUAGAUAUCGUAAGGAAGACCAGUGGCGAAGGCGGGUCUCUGGACAGUUCCUGACGCUGAGGCACGAAGGUCAGGGGAGCAAACGGG
rnacentral:rRNA from 1 species